rnacentral:rRNA from 1 species
UACGUAGGGUGCGAGCGUUAAUCGGAAUUACUGGGCGUAAAGCGUGCGCAGGCGGUCGUGUAAGACAGGUGUGAAAUCCCCGGGCUUAACCUGGGAACUGCAUUUGUGACUGCACGGCUGGAGUGCGGCAGAGGGGGAUGGAAUUCCGCGUGUAGCAGUGAAAUGCGUAGAUAUGCGGAGGAACACCGAUGGCGAAGGCAAUCCCCUGGGCCUGCACUGACGCUCAUGCACGAAAGCGUGGGGAGCAAACGGG